rnacentral:lncRNA from 1 species
AAAUCUUCUUUCGAUUCUGAAUCUCUUUCUUGAAUUAUGAUGAUUGAUUAACUUUCUUCUUAAAAAAAUCAUCUUCGCGCUUGCUGCAAUUUCUUACGGUUCGAUAUUUAUGGAGAAAUGACCUACCUACCUUUCUUGUUCACGCUAGAUGUUCUUCAAAUUAUUCGUUUGGAAUGUUUCAUUGAAAACGACCUUGUUUGUUUUAUUUUUUUUUAAAGUUCAUAGGAAAAAUAGAUUUGUUUUUUUGUGUAAAAUAUAUUAAAACACAUACUUACUCAUUUUUCUUCAUUUUCUUUGUUUAUUACAGGUUAUUAUGUCAAGGCGAGACAUCUCUCAUGUUGUGGAAUGUUAGUUAUUAUGGCAAAUGAGAGAGGAUGAAGAAAUGUAUGAUUUUUUCGCCCAUCUACCUGUACAUGCCAUGACAAACCGAGCUUCCCUUCGUCAUUUCAUUGCGGAGUACCCGCCGACGGAAAACAGAAGAAUCAUACUCCACCAGUUUGAUGCUUUAGAUUGGAAUUGGAAUGAUACCGCAACUGUUCUCUCCAAUUACGUGGAUGAUACUCACUUCAACAACUUUAUUUUGUUGAAGGCAAUGAAGCUUUUGGCACAAUAAAACUUCUGAGAAAGAAUAAUAGGUGGGUCAAUGAAGAUUGGCGUGAAAAUCCACCUGUAGCGCUUGUUUUCACAGAAUGUUGUAUUUGCUUAGACGAUAUCACUGACACUCCAGUCAAUGAUCUUCUUGGGUUGCAAUGCUAUCAACAUGUCUUCCAUGGAACAUACAUUCUUAACUGGGUCUAGAAAAAAUAUGCUUAACCUUCUUGUCCCGUCUGUUCCCGUAUGAUUUAUGUAUUAUGGUUUGUUGGAAUUUGUAUUUGGUUAUUUAUGUUUUAUCUGUCAAAGAUGGUUAGUGGUUUGUGUGUUGUGUUGUGAUGUAGCUUGUUUGGUUAUGUACUCUUAGUUAAUUCGUCUAAUAGUAAAUAAUAAUAGUUUUCAUGUUUCUGCAAACAUUCAGAUCGCUAGCUAGCUAGCUGCUGCAUCUAAUUCUCCGAAUUGAGGUAAUCUUAAACCUUCUUUCGAUUCUGAAUCUCUUUCUUGAUUUAUGAUGAUUGCUUAACUUUCUUCUUAACAAGAUCAUCUUCGCGCUUGCUGAUAUUUCUUACGGUUCGAUAUUUAUGGAGAAAUGACCUACCUACCUUUCUUGUUCACGUUAGAUGUUCUUCAAAUUAUUCGUUUGGAAUGUUUGAUUGAAAACCACCUUGUUUGUUUUAUUUUUUUUUAAAGUUCGUAGGAAAAAUAGAUUUGUUGUUUUGUGUAAAAUAUAUUAAAACACAUA